CAUACACCAAUUGUAUUAAUACUAUUAAAUGCUGGACCGCUUGAUUUGAGAUGGCCAGUAAAUGAAACAAAAGUGGUCUCCAUAUUGGAAAUAUUCUAUCCGUCCCAAGCCACGGGGGUAGCUUUAAGGAAUAUUUUGACAAUGAACGGUCUCUAUUCUGUUCCUGCUGGAAGAUUACCGUUUACAUGGCCUCUUUCUGAAGACCAGAUUCCACCAAUGGUAAACUAUUCUAUGGAAGGACGAACGUAUCGUUAUUUGAAUUCUGAACCGCUCUUUCCAUUUGGUUACGGUUUGUCUUAUACUAGUUUUGCCUAUUCAGAUUUGGAAUACACGAAUUCUAUUCCUGCAGGAAAUGACGUCAGUGGUUCAGUACAAGUUCGCAAUAUGGGCAGUAAUGGUGCCGAUGAGGUUAUACAAAUCUAUAUCACAUGGUUCAACUCAUCAGUACCAACACCAAACAUUCAGCUUGCAUAUUUUACUCGGGUAUUUAUUCCUCAACAAGGGUCAAGUAUAGUCCAAUUUACCAUUAAAGCUCACUCAAUGGCAGUAUGGAUGUCCAGCACUGGAUGGGUUAUCCAAGCAGGAACUUACGGUGUAUACGUUGGAGGUCAACAACCCAAUCAGAAGACGUCUGUUGGUUCUAAUGUAUUAAGUGGUCAAUUUAUAGUACAGGAAUCGCUG